rnacentral:rRNA from 1 species
GACGAACGCUGGCGGCGUGCUUAACACAUGCAAGUCGAACGGAAAGGCCCGUCGGGGUACUCGAGUGGCGAACGGGGGAGUAACACGUGGGUGAUCGGCCCGGCACUCUGGGAUAAGCCUGGGAAACUGGGGCUAAUACCGAAUAGGACCACGCGCUUCAUGGUGUGGGGUGGAAAGCUUUGGCGGUGUGGGGUGGGCCCGCGGCCUAUCAGCUUGUUGGCGGGGUAAUGGCCUACCAAGGCGACGACGGGUAGCCGACCUGCGCGGGUGACCGGCCACGCUGGGCCUGAGCUACGGCCCAGCCUCCUCCGGGAGGCAGCGGUGGGGAAUAUUGCACUAUGGGCGCAAGCCUGAUGCAGCGACGCCGCGUGGGGGAUGACGGCCUUCGGGUUGUAAACCUCUUUCAAUAGGGACGAAGCGCAAGUGACGGUACCUAUAGAAGAAGCACCGGCCAACUCCGUG